CAAUGUAGCUGUUUUAACAGAUCUCAGCACUUCAAGGGGGUAAAGCCUAGCUUACAACAAACAGUAAACACAUGGUUGGCAAAAUGACUC